GAGCAAGACUCUGUCUCAAAAAAAAUAAAAAAUACAAAAAGUCAAACGCAAGUGUGUUUGAAACUCUAGCAAGGAUUGUGGUCAGGAUCUCUGGUGCAGUCAGUGUAGCUGUUGGCAGAAAAUCACUAAUUUUGAAAUGUCUCAAAGCGGUUUCCACUUGUCGAGCAAGCUAACUGCUGUUUAGUGAGAUGGGGCUUUUGGAAGUGGCUUGAUGUGGCCAUUCACGCAGCCAUAACUUACACAUAACUUCUCUCUUUUUUUAUGGCUGCAACAUUUUAUGGUUACAUGUUAAUCACAUUUUCUACUUCCUUCUCCCCUAAGCUCAGCGCAGGCAGUGAUGUUGAAGAGCCUCCUCUCAGCACGAAGUGAGGAUGCCUGCAUUCUUAGUUGAUGGCAGCCUGCAGACUUGGAAGCGUUCCCUUCGGUUAUCCUAGAGAAUGUGGGCUUGUUUGAGUUUCAAGUCCAGAUGUGCACACUCUGAGGAGGCAGCAUGCUGAGAUGUGCUCGAGGUGAACAUUCAGGGCAGCUGCUCUUCAGAAGCAAGGCUUGUAAUGUGGCCCCAAGUACACUCUCCUGCUGUUGGUCUGGAAUCGACAUUGCCGGUCCAGAUGUUUUGAGAGAAGCUGUAAAUCUCUGGCUGCCUCUGAUUUGAUCUAAUGAGGGGGCAUGACUCUUGGGACCAGUGGGCGGGAUGACUCCUCGGUGGGGUACCUCCAGCCGUCCUUCAGGGGUGGCCUCAGGGUGUGAGUUAUGGUCCCAGAGGACUCAUCAUUACUUGAAAGUUUUGCAGAUGGAAUUGUUACCUGUGUCGGCAGAUCUCAGGAGGGCAGGAGGACUUAAAUGUUCCAACAGACUGGUUGAUUCUUGUAGCUGUGAUCCCAAAAUUCUGUGGAGAAAAGCACAGGGAGCUCUGGGAUGUGAAUCCUGGUGAUCCGGGAGAGGCUGGUGUUGCUGAGAGACGAAUGAUCUUCUACCAGCCCAGAAGAGAAUGCCUGGCUGAGGAUGAGACGAUGGGAGCUGAGGCCAUGUGUCCCAGUGAGGGGUAUAGUCUGGCUGGAGAAGGAGCAUGCAAGUCAUGAGUUGUUCUGAGAUGGGUGUGGGUGGUGUCUGAUGCUCUUUAUCAAAGGUCUUGGGUUGAGAAUGAAAAGGAUUCUCAAGGAAGGGAAGUGGCAGAGAUCCCAGAUCAUUCCUCUCUUCUCCCUUCCCUCUUCCUUU